CCUACGGGUGGCAGCAGUGAGGAAUAUUGGUCAAUGGACGAGAGUCUGAACCAGCCAAAUAGCGUGAAGGAUGACUGCCCUAUGGGUUGUAAACUUCUUUUAUAUGGGAAUAAAAUGUUCAACGUGUGGGAUUUUGUAUGUACCAUAUGAAUAAGGAUCGGCUAACUCCGUGCCAGCCGCCGCGGUAAUACGGAGGAUCCGAGCGGUAUCCGGAUUUAUUGGGUUUAAAGGGAGCGUAGGUGGAUUUUUAAGUUAGUUGUGAAAGUGUUCGGCUUAAACGUAAGAUUGCAGUUGAAACUGGCAGUCUUGAGUACAGUAGAGGUGGGCGGAAUUCGUGGUGGAGCGGUGAAAUGCUUAGAUAUAACGAAGAACUCCGAUUGCGAAGGCAGCUCACUGGACUGCAACUGACACUGAGGCUCGAAAGUGUGGGUAUCAAACAGGAUUAGAUACCCCGGUAGUC
rnacentral:rRNA from 1 species